rnacentral:piRNA from 1 species
UAAAGAUGUUGCCAUUGGAAAAAAUAAC